rnacentral:rRNA from 1 species
GACGAACGCUGGCGGCGUGGAUUAGGCAUGCAAGUCGAACGGUAGGAUACCUUCGGGUAUCUGAGAGUGGCGAACGGGUGAGUAACACGUAGGUGAUCUACCCUCAAGAUUGGGACAACCCAGGGAAACUUGGGCUAAUACCGGAUGAAAGCAGCAGUGAUGUUGUUUGAAAGAUGGCGUAAGCUGCCGUUUGGGGAUGAGCCUGCGCUCUAUUAGUUAGUUGGCGGGGUAAAGGCCCACCAAGGCGAUGAUAGAUAGGCGGCCUUAACGGGUGGUCGCCCACACUGGGAUUGAGAUACGGCCCAGACUCCUACGGGAGGCAGCAGUCGAGAAUAGUCUACAAUGGCCGAAAGGCUGAUAGUGCGACGCCGCGUGAACGAAGAAGCCCUUCGGGUGUAAAGUCUUUUAUAUGUGAGCAGUGCUUUCUAUGUGAACAGCAUGGGGAGAGAGAUAUAGCAUAUGAAUAAGCAACGGCUAACUCCGUGCC